UUUGUGAUAUUUUACGCCAGUUCGGUUGACCUCUGUGCAGGUGGUUUGCUUCUGAAACCAGUUCUGUCUGGACCCAGUGAGGCCUAUGUGAGAUCUGAAGUCCAGUUUGACUGUGCAGUUCCAGGCUGGUCUUCACCUCUGACCUAUGAACUCUAUAAGGAUGCAGGGGACGUUAUCGCGGCAGAAAACAACGUCAAGGCCACCUUCACCCUGCAGGUCAAUGAGGAGUCAAAGGGCGAAUACUACUGCAGACUGACCACUGGAGGUCAAACCAGCAACUCCAUCCACUUCCAAGCAGUGAUUCCUGUGUUAGGAGUCCGUCUGAGCUCAGAUCCCGAUCCAGCGAUCCUCUAUGAAGGACAGAAGUUGGUCCUGCGCUGUCUGGUCAGGAAGGGGACGCAUCUGUCCUUCACAUGGUACCACAACAAACAGGAAGUGAACUCCUCAUCAGAGCUCCACCGGCUCUCUGGAGACUCUCUCACGAUGGACAGGGUGACUGAAAUGCAUGCUGGGAUAUACUCAUGCACCGCUCGAAACCAGAUGACCGUCAACCCCAGAUUCUCCAGCAGCCAAAGCCUCCACGUCACUGUCAGAAAGCACAUCUCGGUGCCCUCGUUAUCGUUUACGGUCUUCUCUAACGGCUCGGGCCUAACAGCCAACAUCAGCUGUCGAUCUGAGCGUGGAUCUCCGCCCGUGACGUUCAGACUGAUGUUGGACGGACUGGAGCUGAAUGUGAAGCGAGUGGAUUCACUAGAGGCCUGGUUCGUUCUGCGAUCUCUGUGGGUCUGGAUCUGGGAGUCGCUCAAUGUGAAGCACAAACAGAAACCCAGCAGCUGCUGUCGGAUCCAGAGCGUUUACUUUUCCAGUAGGUGGCGCCGUGCGUGUCACAGUGAUGUACCUUCAUGACGCUGACGGGAUGGUGUCAGCCGCUCGGCUCACAUGCGUCCCAGACAGAGGAACGUUUCCCACGUUCUCCUGGCAUCUGAACCAUUCCUCCCUUCCAGCAGAGGGCGCUCACGCGGUCACUCAUCAAGGUCAGAUCUUGAUCCUCACAGAAGUCAGUGCUGGGUUUUACGGCUGCAGGGCGAGGGACAGUUUUAACGACAGCUCACUCUGGGUGAAGAGCGAGGACAUCUUUAUUCAGAAGAGAGGUGAGCGCGUCCUUCACCUCCAGUCCGUUUCCAGAAAGACGCAGAAGUUGAUGAGGCUUUUGUUUGUUCUUGCACAGAUUUGUCGGCGACACCCAUGGAGGUCAUUGCAUUGGUUUUCUGUGGUUUCCUGUCGAUUGUGAUUGUGUUUUGCUCGUUCUUUAUGUUCUGGUGCUCCAAGCGCAGAAACAACACCUGCAAACAUCACAGUAACCGUGAGUCCACUCACUUCAUCAUGUGUAAACAGGAAACGUUCUCAGAACGUUUGGUUAAUGUUCUGGAAAUGUUCUCUCGAAGUUAUGAAUAAAAAUGCGCUUCCAGUAACAUUGAUAGAACAUUCAUUCAAAGAGAUCUUAACACAAAUACAUACCGUCAUUCAAGGAACGUUUUCUCAAACAUUGUAGUUUGACGUUCAUCCAAUGUUUUUUACAUUUUUAUAAAUUUUUCUUUUUACUAUAAUUUUCAUAUUUUUAACUGUAACACUUAUUAUUGGCAACUGUCAAAGUUAAUGUUAAUAGAAUGUUCACGCAAAGUUAUUUUCCUUCUUUUACUAUUUUAUUU
ensembl:lncRNA